CUCUUGUUUCUUUAGGAGUCGACUCGCUAACCGUCGGAGUCGACUCGAGUUCUUCUAGAGUCGACUCGGUUCUCAGAGUCCAAAACAACUUCUCUGUCUUUCUGUCUGUUACUCCUUGGAGUCGACUCGGAACUAUCGGGGGUCGACUCGGCAAGCAUCGGAGUCGACUUGAAUUCUUCAGGAGUCGACUCGGUGACAGGGUCUGAGAUUCAUUUUUCUGUCCUGUUGUCUGUUCUCAGUCGGAGUCGACUCGCAGUGUGCCGGAGUCGACUCGAGCCUGUGCCAGAACGUCUGAAACACUUGGACUCGACUCGAAAUCUUUCGGAGUCGACUCGAGUUUCAGCCUUUGACUUAAGCUGAUUUCCACAUGCACUCAAAAGAGGAUUCUUACAAAUUUUGCCUGAUAUGCUGGAUUGAAUUCAUUAGUAUAACAUAAAAUAUACUCAAUGGCUUUGUGCUCAUCAAAAUCAAAUAGGGUUAUAAUCAAUCACUCCACAAUCUUCCCCUUUUUGAUGAUGACAAAACAUUGAAUAUUUUUGAAGUGAAUUACUCUAUCAUUCAGUAAAAGUUUUGAAAUGAAUUCAAAUGUCUGGUUAUUUUAAUCUAUCCAGAAUUGAAAGGUAUGGAUCAGUAAAUCCUAAAUUAAAGCUCCCCCUUUUAUUUGGAAUUAUAUAAGCCUUCAUAUCAUGCAAUCAAUUGUUUGGCUUAUAUGUAGUUAAUGAUUUUGCUUUCUUAAGAUUUCAGAUUCUCCCCCUCAA
rnacentral:lncRNA from 1 species